GUAGUCAUAUGCUUGUCUCAAAGAUUAAGCCAUGCAUGUCUAAGUAUAAGCAAUCUAUACAGUGAAACUGCGAAUGGCUCAUUAAAUCAGUUAUCGUUUAUUUGAUAGUGCCUUACUACAUGGAUAACCGUGGUAAUUCUAGAGCUAAUACAUGCUAAAAACCCCGACCUCUGGAAGGGGUGUAUUUAUUAGAUAAAAAACCAAUGGCUUCGGCCUCUAUGGUGAAUCAUAAUAACUUCACGAAUCGCAUGGCCUUGCGCCGGCGAUGGUUCAUUCAAAUUUCUGCCCUAUCAACUUUCGAUGGUAGGAUAGUGGCCUACCAUGGUAGCAACGGGUAACGGGGAAU
rnacentral:rRNA from 1 species